CCAAUAGCGUAUAUUAAAGUUGUUGCAGUUAAAAAGCUCGUAGUUGAAUUUCGGGAUCAGUACGCUGGUCGUGCCUUUGGUAUGCACUGGUGUUACUGGUUCCUACCUUCUGACGAACCGUCAUGUCAUUUAUUUGGUGUGGCGGGGAAUCAGGACUGUUACUUUGAAAAAAUUAGAGUGUUUAAAGCAGGCUCGCGCUUGAAUACAUUAGCAUGGAAUAAUGAAAUAGGACGUUCGAUCCUAUUUUGUUGGUUUCUAGGAUUGACGUAAUGAUUAAUAGGGAUAGUUGGGGGCAUUAGUAUUCAAUUGUCAGAGGUGAAAUUCUUGGAUUUAUUGAAGACUAACUACUGCGAAAGCAUUUGCCAAGGAUGUUUUCAUUAAUCAAGAACGAAAGUUAGGGGAUCGAAGACGAUCAGAUACCGUCGUAGUCUUAACCAUAAACUAUGCCGACUAGGGAUCGGAUGAUGUUAAUUUUUUAAUGACUCAUUCGGCGCCUUACG
rnacentral:rRNA from 1 species